rnacentral:rRNA from 1 species
AUUGAACGCUGGCGGCAGGCUUAACACAUGCAAGUCGAGCGGGGUGAUGGUGCUUGCACUAUCACUUAGCGGCGGACGGGUGAGUAAUGCUUAGGAAUCUGCCUAUUAGUGGGGGACAACAUCUCGAAAGGGAUGCUAAUACCGCAUACGUCCUACGGGAGAAAGCAGGGGAUCACUUGUGACCUUGCGCUAAUAGAUGAGCCUAAGUCGGAUUAGCUAGUUGGUGGGGUAAAGGCCUACCAAGGCGACGAUCUGUAGCGGGUCUGAGAGGAUGAUCCGCCACACUGGGACUGAGACACGGCCCAGACUCCUACGGGAGGCAGCAGUGGGGAAUAUUGGACAAUGGGGGGAACCCUGAUCAGCCAUGCCGCGUGUGUGAAGAAGGCCUUAUGGUUGCAAAGCACUUUAAGCGAGGAGGAGGCUCUUUUGGUUAAUACCCAAGAUGAGUGGACGUUACUCGCAGAAUAAGCACCGGCUAACUCUGUGCCAGCAGCCGCCGUAA